rnacentral:rRNA from 1 species
CUCUUGAAUGUAUCCUGAGUACGGCGGAACACGUGAAAUUCCGUCGGAAUCUGGGAGGACCAUCUCCCAAGGCUAAAUACUCCCUAGUGAUCGAUAGUGAACCAGUACCGUGAGGGAAAGGUGAAAAGCACCCCGGAAGGGGAGUGAAAGAGAUCCUGACACCGUGUGCCUACAAAUAGUCAGAGCCCGUUAACGGGUGAUGGCGUGCCUUUUGUAGAAUGAACCGGCGAGUUACGAUCCCGUGCGAGGUUAAGCUGAAGAGGCGGAGCCGCAGCGAAAGCGAGUCUGAAUAGGGCGUUUAGUACGUGGUCGUAGACCCGAAACCAGGUGAUCUACCCAUGUCCAGGGUGAAGUUCAGGUAACACUGAAUGGAGGCCCGAACCCACGCACGUUGAAAAGUGCGGGGAUGAGGUGUGGGUAGCGGAGAAAUUCCAAUCGAACCUGGAGAUAGCUGGUUCUCCCCGAAAUAGCUUUAGGGCUAGCCUUAAGUGUAAGAGUCUUGGAGGUAGAGCACUGAUUGGACUAGGGGUCCUCAUCGGAUUACCGAAUUCAGUCAAACUCCGAAUGCCAAUGACUUAUCCUUAGGAGUCAGACUGCGAGUGAUAAGAUCCGUAGUCAAAAGGGAAACAGCCCAGACCGCCAGCUAAGGUCCCAAAGUGUGUAUUAAGUGGAAAAGGAUGUGGAGUUGCUUAGACAACUAGGAUGUUGGCUUAGAAGCAGCCACCAUUUAAAGAGUGCGUAAUAGCUCACUAGUCGAGUGACUCUGCGCCGAAAAUGUACCGGGGCUAAAUACACCACCGAAGCUGCGGAUUGAUACCAAUGGUAUCAGUGGUAGGGGAGCGUUCUAAGGACAGUGAAGUCAGACCGGAAGGACUGGUGGAGUGCUUAGAAGUGAGAAUGCCGGUAUGAGUAGCGAAAGACGGGUGAGAAUCCCGUCCACCGAAUGCCUAAGGUUUCCUGAGGAAGGCUCGUCCGCUCAGGGUUAGUCAGGACCUAAGCCGAGGCCGACAGGCGUAGGCGAUGGACAACAGGUUGAUAUUCCUGUACCACCUCUUUAUCGUUUGAGCAAUGGAGGGACGCAGAAGGAUAGAAGAAGCGUGCGAUUGGUUGUGCACGUCCAAGCAGUUAGGCUGAUAAGUAGGCAAAUCCGCUUAUCGUGAAGGCUGAGCUGUGAUGGGGAAGCUCCUUAUGGAGCGAAGUCUUUGAUUCCCCGCUGCCAAGAAAAGCUUCUAGCGAGAUAAAAGGUGCCUGUACCGCAAACCGACACAGGUAGGCGAGGAGAGAAUCCUAAGGUGUGCGAGAGAACUCUGGUUAAGGAACUCGGCAAAAUGACCCCGUAACUUCGGGAGAAGGGGUGCUUUCUUAACGGAAAGCCGCAGUGAAUAGGCCCAAGCGACUGUUUAGCAAAAACACAGCUCUCUGCGAAGCCGUAAGGCGAAGUAUAGGGGGUGACACCUGCCCGGUGCUGGAAGGUUAAGGAGAGGGGUUAGCGUAAGCGAAGCUCUGAACUGAAGCCCCAGUAAACGGCGGCCGUAACUAUAACGGUCCUAAGGUAGCGAAAUUCCUUGUCGGGUAAGUUCCGACCCGCACGAAAGGUGUAACGAUUUGGGCACUGUCUCAACC